CCCCACCCCUCGCCCGCGAUCCAAAACGACCGGGCAGUAGGAACGGCCCUAGCUUUUACUCCAGCGUUGCCCGGCCGGCAAGCUAACGCCACAGCAGUCCUCCAUCCCGAAAGGUUCUAUUAUUGGCUCCCACUUCACUGGUGAAGAAACUGAGGCACAGAGAACCUCAGGAACCUCUCCCAUCCCACAGAUUAAAAGGUGCACACUACUGAAGGGAUGUAAAGUGUCCAGACAUUGAAGAGGGUUUCGUGGAGCACCAUCACUGAUAAAGAAAUGCAAGUACUUUUUCAGAUGGAGAAAAGGAAGCAUGAAAAGGAGAAGCAAGGUUACCGAGGGAGCAGGGGAGGGACUGGCUUCUGGUCUCUUGCUCCAAACCCUGCUCCACUUUGUCUCUCUCACAAACAGCUGUCAAACUUCCUCUCCAGGCAGAACACUGCAAAUAGGACCUAUGGUGUGCAAAGCAUUUGUGUUUAAAUGGGAUAGACACCAUCCUGGAGCAGAACCCAAGGGCCUGAACAGAAGUGGCGGAGAAAGAAGCAAUUGUUACCACUGGUGGCAGAAACUCCCGUCUUGCAGUGAUAUACCAGAAACAGGGAAGUAAUGAGUGGGAAGCUCAGUAUCAUUGGUCAACCCACCAUAAACACAUCAAGACAUUUGCUUUAUUUAAAAACCUAUUUUUGACACUGUAUUUAGAGAUUUUCCUUCCUUAAUGUCAGAACUAUGCAGAGAAAGACACUGUAAA